CGGGCGAGGUUGCUUCGGUAACUGAGCUAGCGGCGGACGGGUGAGUAAUACUUAGGAAUCUGCCUAUUAGUGGGGGACAACAUUCCGAAAGGAAUGCUAAUACCGCAUACGCCCUACGGGGGAAAGCAGGGGAUCUUCGGACCUUGCGCUAAUAGAUGAGCCUAAGUCAGAUUAGCUAGUUGGUGGGGUAAAGGCCUACCGAGGCGACGAUCUGUAGCGGGUCUGAGAGGAUGAUCCGCCACACUGGGACUGAGACACGGCCCAGACUCCUACGGGAGGCAGCAGUGGGGAAUAUUGGACAAUGGGCGCAAGCCUGAUCCAGCCAUGCCGCGUGUGUGAAGAAGGCCUUUUGGUUGUAAAGCACAUUAAGCGAGGAGGAGGCUACUUGGAUUAAUACUCUAGGAUAGUGGACGUUACUCGCAGAAUAAGCACCGGCUAACUCUGUGCCAGCAGCCGCGGUAAUACAGAGGGUGCGAGCGUUAAUCGGAUUUACUGGGCGUAAAGCGUGCGUAGGCGGCUUCUUAAGUCGGAUGUGAAAUCCCUGAGCUUAACUUAGGAAUUGCAUUCGAUACUGGGAAGCUAGAGUAUGGGAGAGGAUGGUAGAAUUCCAGGUGUAGCGGUGAAAUGCGUAGAGAUCUGGAGGAAUACCGAUGGCGAAGGCAGCCAUCUGGCCUAAUACUGACGCUGAGGUACGAAAGCAUGGGGAGCAAACAGGAUUAGAUAC
rnacentral:rRNA from 1 species